UAGGGAAUCUUCGGCAAUGGACGGAAGUCUGACCGAGCAACGCCGCGUGAGUGAAGAAGGUUUUCGGAUCGUAAAGCUCUGCUGUUAGAGAAGAACGUUGGUAGGAGUGGAAAAUCUACCAAGUGACGGUAACUAACCAGAAAGGGACGGCUAACUACGUGCCAGCAGCCGCGGUAAUACGUAGGUCCCGAGCGUUGUCCGGAUUUAUUGGGCGUAAAGCGAGCGCAGGCGGUUCUUUAAGUCUGAAGUUAAAGGCAGUGGCUUAACCAGUGUACGCUUUGGAAACUGGAGGACUUGAGUGCAGAAGGGGAGUGUGGAAUUCCAUGUGUAGCGGUGAAAUGCGUAGAUAUAUGGAGGAACACCGGUGGCGAGGGCGGCUCUCUGGUCUGUAACUGACGCUGAGGCUCGAAAGCGUGGGGAGCAAACAGG
rnacentral:rRNA from 1 species